rnacentral:rRNA from 1 species
AACGAACGCUGGCGGCAGGCCUAACACAUGCAAGUCGAACGCCCCGCAAGGGGAGUGGCCGACGGGUGAGUAACGCGUGGGAACCUUCCCUGUGGUACGGAAUAACUGACCGAAAGGUUAGCUAAUACCGUAUACGUCCGAGAGGAGAAAGAUUAUCGCCACAGGAUGGGCCCGCGUCGGAUUAGCUAGUUGGUGAGGUAAUGGCUCACCAAGGCGACGAUCCGUAGCUGGUCUGAGAGGAUGAUCAGCCACACUGGGACUGAGACACGGCCCAGACUCCUACGGGAGGCAGCAGUGGGGAAUAUUGCACAAUGGGCGAAAGCCUGAUGCAGCAACGCCGCGUGAGCGAUGAAGGCCUUCGGGUCGUAAAGCUCUGUCCUCAAGGAAGAUAAUGACGGUACUUGAGGAGGAAGCCCCGGCUAACUACGUGCCAGCCGCCGCGGUAAUAC